rnacentral:rRNA from 1 species
AGCGAACGCUGGCGGCAGGCUUAACACAUGCAAGUCGAGCGCCCCGCCAGGGGAGCGGCAGACGGGAGAGUAACACGUGGGAACAUACCCUUUGGUUCGGAACAACUGAGGGAAACUUCAGCUAAUACCGGAUAAGCCCUUACGGGGAAAGAUUUAUCGCCGAAAGAUUGGCCCGCGUCUGAUUAGCUAGUUGGUGAGGUAACGGCUCACCAAGGCGACGAUCAGUAGCUGGUCUGAGAGGAUGAUCAGCCUCACUGGGACUGAGACACGGCCCAGACUCCUACGGGAGGCAGCAGUGGGGAAUAUUGGACAAUGGGGGCAACCCUGAUCCAGCCAUGCCGCGUGAGUGAUGAAGGCCUUAGGGUUGUAAAGCUCUUUUGCCCGGGAAGAUAAUGACGGUACCGGGAGAAUAAGCCCCGGCUAACUUCGUG